rnacentral:rRNA from 1 species
CAGUCGCCACGGGAAUACGUAGGGUGCGAGCGUUAAUCGGAAUUACUGGGCGUAAAGCGUGCGCAGGCGGUUGUGUAAGACAGGUGUGAAAUCCCCGGGCUUAACCUGGGAACUGCGCUUGUGACUGCACAGCUAGAGUAUGGCAGAGGGGGGUGGAAUUCCACGUGUAGCAGUGAAAUGCGUAGAGAUGCGGAGGAACACCGAUGGCGAUGGCAGCCCCCUGGGCCAAUACUGACGCUCAUGCACGAAAGCGUGGGGAGCAAACAGGAUUAGAUACCCCUGUAGUCCCUGUCUUUAUACA